rnacentral:rRNA from 1 species
GGAAUCUUGCACAAUGGGCGAAAGCCUGAUGCAGCGACGCCGCGUGGGGGAUGAAGGCCCUAGGGUCGUAAACCCCUUUCAGCAGGGACGAAAAUGACGGUACCUACAGAAGAAGCCCCGGCCAACUACGUGCCAGCAGCCGCGGUAAGACGUAGGGGGCGAGCGUUGUCCGGAUUUAUUGGGCGUAAAGAGCUCGUAGGCGGUUGCGUAAGUCGGAUGUGAAAACUCAGGGCUCAACCCUGAGACGCCAUCCGAUACUGCGCUGACUUGAAUCCAGUAGGGGAGUGCGGAAUUCCUGGUGUAGCGGUGAAAUGCGCAGAUAUCAGGAGGAACACCCAUGGCGAAGGCAGCACUCUGGGCUGGUAUUGACGCUGAGGAGCGAAAGCAUGGGUAGCGAACAGGAUUAGAUACCCACGUAGUCCCUGAGCGGGCUGGCAAGGCGCAU